rnacentral:rRNA from 1 species
AGGGGACAAGCGUUAUCCGGAUUCACUGGGCGUAAAGAGCGUUGAGGCGGUUCCGUAAGUUGGGCGUGAAAGCUCCGGGCUUAACUCGGAGAUGUCGUUCAAUACUGCGGGGCUUGAGGACAGCAGAGGAAGGUGGAAUUCCCGGUGUAGUGGUGAAAUGCGUAGAUAUCGGGAGGAACACCCGUGGCGAAGGCGGCCUUCUGGGCUGUUCCUGACGCUGAAGGCGAAAGCUAGGGGAGCGAACGGGAUUAGAUACCCCGGUAGUCCUAGCUGUAAACGAUGGAUGCUGGGUGUGGGGGGUGUAAAUUCCCUCUGUGCCGAAGCAAACGCGUUAAGCAUCCCGCCUGGGGACUACGGCCGCAAGGCUAAAACUCAAACGAAUUGACGGGGGCCCGCACAAGCAGCGGAGCGUGUGGUUUAAUUCGAUGCUACACGAAGAACCUUACCUGGGUUUGACAUGCACGUGGUAGGGAACCGAAAGGGGACCGACCUUCGGGAGCGUGCACAGGUGCUGCAUGGCUGUCGUCAGCUCGUGCCGUGAGGUGUCGGGUUAAGUCCCGUAACGAGCGCAACCCUUGCCCUUAGUUACAAGUGUCUAAGGGGACUGCCCGGGACAACUGGGAGGAAGGUGGGGAUGACGUCAAGUCAGCAUGGCCUUUAUAUCCAGGGCUACACACACGCUACAAUGGCCGGUACAAUAGGUUGCGAAGUCGUGAGGCGGAGCCAAUCCUCAAAGCCGGUCUCAGUUCGAAUUGCAGUCUGCAACUCGACUGCAUGAAGCUGGAGUUGCUAGUAAUCGCAGGUCAGCUAUACUGCGGUGAAUACGUUCCCGGGCCUUGCA